rnacentral:pre_miRNA from 1 species
UAUACAGAUUCGAGUAUGCAUAUGUAAUAUACUCUAUGUGCACACUCAUAUCUGUAUAAC